GCCUGAUUAGCACAGUGGUAAUGCGUUGCACUCGUACUCUCAUUCCAAGAAUAUGCAAAGAUCACUGGUUCGAUUCCAGUAUUAGGCA